CGCGAAGUCCAGUGGGAGAGCAGGAUUUGACUAAGGCCACUUGGAGAAUUUUCCUGCAGAAGUGAUUUACAAAGAGCGAGGUUUGCUUACAUAUAGGCACCUUUAACUAAAGUGAAAAACCCAAUGGAUCGCUAAAGACAAGAGCAACCAUGUAGGUCAAAGCAGGUGUGCUGCAGCAGCUGCAUAUAAAGGGCUUCAUUUUCCAGCAUCUUUGAGUCUUGCUCUUUCAUCCAGCCUGGAGUGCAAUGAUGUGAUCUCAGCUAACUACAACCUCCACCUCCCGGGUUCAAGCAAUUCUCCCACCUCAGCCUUCAGAGUAGCUGGGAUUAUAGGCAAGCGCCACCACGUCUGGCUAAUUUUUGUAUUUUUGUAGAGAUAAGGUUUUACCAUGUUGGCCAGGCUGGUCUUGAUGCGCCCGGCCUAAGAUUGAUUGGUUGUUAGUAACUUUACUGAUUCUGUUUUAAAUUGUCACCAACUAGCCCCCACAAAUGCACAUUUGGCUUUUUUGGCUUCUUUUUUUUUUUUCUUUUAUACUGAGUCUCACUCUUGUCACCAAGGCUAGAAUGCAGUGGUGCGAUCUCAGCUCGCUGCAACCUCCGCCUCCUGGGUUCAAGGGAUUCUCCUGCCUCAGCUUCCUCAGUAGCUGGGAUUGCAGGCAUCUGCCAUCACACCCAGCUAAUUUUUGUGCUUUUAGUAGAGACAGGGUUUUAC
rnacentral:lncRNA from 1 species